rnacentral:lncRNA from 1 species
UCGAUUCUUGUUUUGGUACUAUUGGCCUUGAGGGCCACCACGGGAGAAACCGGCGCUUCUAUCGCUAUGACGUGUUAAACGACAUCACGUGACUCGCCUUUGCCACCGAAAGGCACGCCAAUGCUGCUCGCUGCGUCUCA